AAGUUUUAGUAACACCCCUUAAGUUAAUAUUUUCAAAAAUUAACAAGAAGCCGUUAAGCUCGGUUUGAAACAGCCGUGUUUAUUAUACGAAUCAUAAGCAUGUGCUUAUCUAUUACAAGUACAUUUUAAAACGUUGAAAUAAACGUCGAUUAUAAAAUUAAAGGUUAUCUGUUUCUACCUUCGAUGGUGAAAAUUACAUCUUUUAUCUGAAGGGUGUUAAGAGAAAUCUUCAUAUUGAAACAAGAUAUUGUGUAAAGAGGUUUUCAAAGAAGUCGUUUUAACAACAAUGGAAAAGCUUCCAAUUCCUGAGAUAACCGUGAAAGCAUUCGAUACAUGAUUAAAGAAUCGUUUAAAAGUUUGCUUAAUUUCGACAGUGUAAUUUUAAUUACUAUUUUUUUGAAAUAAACCAAUCAAUUUAUAUAUAAA